rnacentral:tRNA from 1 species
GGAGAGGUGCCGGAGCUGGCUUAACGGGGCGGUCUCGAAAACCGUUGUACCUUCGGGUACCGGGGGUUCGAAUCCCCCCCUCUCCG